rnacentral:rRNA from 1 species
AUUGAACGCUGGCGGCAGGCCUAACACAUGCGAGUUGAGCGGAUGAAGGGAGCUUGCUCCUGGAUUCAGCGGCGGACGGGUGAGUAAUGCCUAGGAAUCUGCCUGGUCUUGGGGGAUAACGUCCGGACACGGGCGCUAAUACCGCAUACGUCCUGAGGGAGAAAGUGAGGGAUCUUCGGACCUCACGCUAUCAGAUGAGCCUAGGUCGGAUUAGCUAGUUGGUGGGGUAAAGGCCUACCAAGGCGACGAUCCGUAACUGGUCUGAGAGGGUGAGCAGUCACACUGGAACUGAGACAAGGGCCCGACUCCUAAGGGAGGGCGCAGUUGGGAAUAUUUGGCAAUGGGCGAAAGCCUGACACAGCCAAGCCGCGUGUGUGAAGAAGGUCUUCGGAUUGUAAAGCACUUUAAGUUGGGAGGAAGGGCAGUAAGUUAAUACCUUGCUGUUUUGACGUUACCAACAGAAUAAGCACCGGCUAACUUCGUG